rnacentral:ncRNA from 1 species
GUCAUGAAGCCCUGACGAGUAGGAGGGUCGCGGCGGUGUGCGCAGAAGGGUCUGGGCGUGAGCCUGCCUGGAGCCGCCGUCGGUGCAGAUCUUGGUGGUAGUAGCAAAUACUCCAGCGAGGCCCUGGAGGACUGACGUGGAGAAGGGUUUCGUGUGAACAGCCGUUGCACACGAGUCAGUCGAUCCUAAGCCCUAGGAGAAAUCCUAUGUCGAUGACGGUGUAUGUUUCUAAAGAAUUUUUUGACUAAAGUGCACACCCGUCGGGCGAAAGGGAAUCCGGUUCCUAU